rnacentral:rRNA from 1 species
UACGGGUGGGGCAAGCGUUGUUCGGAAUUACUGGGCGUAAAGGGCUCGUAGGCGGCCAACUAAGUCGGACGUGAAAUCCCCAGGCUCAACCUGGGAACUGCGUCCGAUACUGGAUGGCUUGAAUCCGGGAGAGGGAUGCAGAAUUCCAGGUGUAGCGGUGAAAUGCGUAGAUAUCUGGAGGAAUACCGGUGGCGAAGGCGGCAUCCUGGACCGGCAUUGACGCUGAGGAGCGAAAGCCAGGGGAGCAAACGGG